AGGAUCCUCUGCAGCAGAGGUGGGUCUCGCUCAUGUGGAACAGCCAUGGGUAAAACAGACGCUGCCCAAGGUACCUGCCUCAGUGAAGAAAAGCAGGGAGAGGGGAGCCCAUCAAGUCAACCUGUAUCAUUUAUGGUGCCAGAAGAGUUCCAAGGCUCUGUGCAAGCACAACUCCACUUCUCAAGACCAUUCCCUGUUCCAAACGUAGUUACGAAAUGACAGAGGACACAGAUGGGUUCUUUGAAACAUACACGUCGUAUCAAAAGAAUAAGUUUAAGGGAAGUGGCAUAAAAGAGAGGCAGAAGAGAAAUCCUGCUGCUAUUGAAGCCGUGGUCAAUUUCUCCAACAUGUGCAGAGCCGAGCAGGCAGGGUGGUAAAUUGUCAUUCUCGGCACAUGACCUCGGAGUACAUCCCGGCUCCACGCGCUGUGUGUGCUGAUGGGAGGAAAGCUGUUUUUCCCCUGCAAAACCACUUCAAAGGCCGGGAGAAGAUGGCCCUCCCAGGGGGAAUGGCAGCUUGUGUGCACAUGCUUGGGACCUCAGGUGGCAGGCAUUGUGAUGGGAGAUGCUUUCUGCCAGAGGAGGUUAUUAAAUGUUGAAUCUCUCAUCUCCAUGGCCUCUGCUUUUCAGCAGCUGGACAAAGAGGACAGAAGUAACAGUCCCACUGCUUCCUCUCCACGAGAUGGUCAUGUGAUCAACUCUGUGGGGUUUUGCUGGAGACAGGUGGUCUGGUGGCCCUCCCUGGCCCAGAUCAACCCCAAACACCAACCUCACUGUAUCUGCUAGUUAUGGUGUAUAGACCAGAUAUCAAAGGACUGGAAAUGACUUCAUUUAACCCAUGUAUCAUGUGUGAGGCAGCACUACCCCGUUUUGCUGGUAAGCAAACACAGGCUCCUGGAGAAGAAAGAAUUUGCCCAGGAUACGUGAAUUUCAAUUUGCAAUGGAACCGGAGAAUGGGAAAUGGAGAAUCCCACACAGGUGCCCUCAGAAGACCCAAGUUUAAAAACUGAAAAUCGCAUUUCCCAUAAACGCCUGACUUACAGAAGACAGAAACCUAUCUCCUGACCAAUGAAUAUCUGCCUAGAAUCCCUCUCUAUCCUCAAGCCAAUGAAUUUACCACUUGGACUCUGGCUAGAUCUCCCCUUCUUGCACUCCUGGCCCAUCAAUACAGCACACCCCGAACCCUCAACAGACUCACCGGUUUCUUGCUAUGGCUGCAUUUCCCAAGCUGCAAUUCCUCUGCUAUUCCCAAAUAAACUCGAUUUGAGUUUGGUAA